rnacentral:rRNA from 1 species
UACGUAGGGUGCGAGCGUUGUCCGGAAUUACUGGGCGUAAAGAGCUCGUAGGUGGUUUGUCGCGUUGUCCGUGAAAACUCACAACUCAAUUGUGGGCGUGCGGGCGAUACGGGCAGACUGGAGUACUGCAGGGGAGACUGGAAUUCCUGGUGUAGCGGUGGAAUGCGCAGAUAUCAGGAGGAACACCGGUGGCGAAGGCGGGUCUCUGGGCAGUAACCGACGCUGAGGCGCGAAAGCGUGGGGAGCGAACAGG